CUUGAGAAACCUAAAAGUUCGAAAAGCGAGAUUCAAUGUCAGUAUGUAUUGUAUUCACGUGAGUAGGGAUGUAUGCACUUUUUCAUGUUAUUUUAUUGCAAUACUAUUACCGGCGUGCACUUCUCACUUAGUAGGACGUCCCGACCCGUUGAGUCUUAACCUACGGCUCAGACUUUAAUAUUCAUUUAUUAAAGACCUCUGAUAUUAAAGACCUCUGAUGUUCACCUGGUUAAAGUACUCGACGGGGUGUCCAGUCGCAUUUUCGAAUGCGCCCAUGCGCCCGGCCAGUCGCAAGUUUAUUGAUGUACCGUAUUUAAUAGACUUUGUGCUAUUUAUAUGGACUGUGCUUUAGGGCCGACUUACUUCGCCUGUCUGGGACGCUUAGGCUUUGGGUACUCUCAAGACCCGUCUUGAAACACGGACCAAGGAGUCUAACAUGUACGCGAGUCAUUGGGUAUAUAUUUUUCAAACCUAAAGGCGUAAUGAAAGUAAAGGUUGAA
rnacentral:rRNA from 1 species